rnacentral:rRNA from 1 species
GACGAACGCUGGCGGCGUGCUUAGCACAUGCAAGUCGAACGGAAAGGCCCUGCUUUUGUGGGGUGCUCGAGUGGCGAACGGGUGAGUAACACGUGAGUAACCUGCCCUUGACUUUGGGAUAACUUCAGGAAACUGGGGCUAAUACCGGAUAGGAGCUCCUGCUGCAUGGUGGGGGUUGGAAAGUUUCGGCGGUUGGGAAUGGACUCGCGGCUUAUCAGCUUGUUGGUGGGGUAGUGGCUUACCAAGGCUUUGACGGGUAGCCGGCCUGAGAGGGUGACCGGCCACAUUGGGACUGAGAUACGGCCCAGACUCCUACGGGAGGCAGCAGUGGGGAAUAUUGCACAAUGGGCGGAAGCCUGAUGCAGCAACGCCGCGUGCGGGAUGACGGCCUUCGGGUUGUAAACCGCUUUCGCCUGUGACGAAGCGUGAGUGACGGUAAUGGGUAAAGAAGCACCGGCUAACUACG